UAAAUCACAAUAAAUAGUUGCUUCAUUCAGAUUGGGCUAUUUUUCACAAAUCCUUUUUUACAAAUAAUGCUACAAUAAUACAUAAACAAAAAUAACUCUAAAAAAACUCCAAAAUUUUCAAAUACACCUAAUUAAAAUUUUUAAAAAAAACCCUACCCCCUCUUUCUAUUUUUACCCAUCACCUACUACUGCUGCCACCCCCUAUCACCGCCAUUCGUCACAACCACUACCACCUACUCUCCCUCCUCUCUCUUCCUUUUUCCCUUUCCUCUCCGUCCUCUCUCCUCCUCUUUCUCUCCCUCCUUCUUUCUCCUCUCUCUUCCCUUUUCCUGUUUUUUUUUCUUUGUCGACAUGAUAAAUUCUAUACUAUAUCUACUCCUACUCUAUAUUAGAGAAGAGAAGUGAGUCCAAAUGGAUUAAUGGAGAACUCGAAUGGGGCUGAACCACCACUGAACUAAACGGGUGCCUCUGCACUCGCUGGAAAGGUUUUCAGGAAAUUUUGAAGAAGUAUGCAAGUCAAAGGAUCAAAUCCCUUGACUUGCACCCAAGGAAAACCUUAAAACUCUCCCAACUCUCCCAAGGUAGUUGGUUUCCCUUUUCCUCUUUUCCCCUUUUUUCGUCCUCCUUCUUCCUUCCUUUCUGUCCCCUCAGCCUUCCUUCUCUUCCCCCUUUUCUGGAUCUGAUCACGAGUAGCGACCGGAAACUAGUUGUCAUCCACGUGAUGGCUAGAAAACUAAUUUUUGGUCUCAAGCUAUAACCAGAAAAGGAAGGAAGGAUAGGGAAGUUGCGAGAGUUGCAAGGGAGGAAAGGGGAGAAGGAAGGAGGAGGAGGGAGAGGAAGAAAAGGAAGAUAGGGGAAGAGGAAAAGAGAGCAAGAGAAGAGAAGAGAAGGGUGGGAGGUGAGGGG
rnacentral:lncRNA from 1 species